GACGAACGCUGGCGGCGCGCUUAACACAUGCAAGUCGAGCGAUGAAAUUUCGACAGUUCCCUUCGGGGUGAAGAUGAAAUGGAUUAGCGGCGGACGGGUGAGUAACACGUGAUUAACCUGCCUUUGACAUUGGGAUAGCCUCGGGAAACUGGGAUUAAUACCAAAUGACACUAACUGAUCACAUGAUCAAUUAGUCAAAGAAAUUCGGUCAAGGCUGGACUCGCGGCUGAUUAGCUAGUUGGUGAGGUAACGGCCCACCAAGGCGACGAUCAGUAGCCGGCCUGGUAGGGUGAUCGGCCACAUUUGAGCUGCGACCCGGUCCAAACUCCUACGGGAGGCAGCAGUAGGGAAUAUUGCACAAUGGGGGAAACCCUGAUGCAGCGACGCCGCGUGAGCGAAGAAGGCCUUCGGGUCGUAAAGCUCUUUUAUGAGGGAAGAGAAUGACGGUACCUCAAGAAAAAGCCCCGGCUAACUACGUG
rnacentral:rRNA from 1 species